rnacentral:rRNA from 1 species
AUUGAACGCUGGCGGCAGGCCUAACACAUGCAAGUCGAGCGGAUGAAGGGAGCUUGCUCCUGGAUUCAGCGGCGGACGGGUGAGUAAUGCCUAGGAAUCUGCCUGGUAGUGGGGGAUAACGUCCGGAAACGGGCGCUAAUACCGCAUACGUCCUGAGGGAGAAAGUGGGGGAUCUUCGGACCUCACGCUAUCAGAUGAGCCUAGGUCGGAUUAGCUAGUUGGUGGGGUAAAGGCCUACCAAGGCGACGAUCCGUAACUGGUCUGAGAGGAUGAUCAGUCACACUGGAACUGAGACACGGUCCAGACUCCUACGGGAGGCAGCAGUGGGGAAUUUUGGACAAUGGGCGAAAGCCUGAUCCAGCCAUGCCGCGUGUGUGAAGAAGGUCUUCGGAUUGUAAAGCACUUUAAGUUGGGAGGAAGGGCAGUAAGUUAAUACCUUGCUGUUUUGACGUUACCAAAAGAAUAAGCACCGGCUAACUUCGUG